rnacentral:misc_RNA from 1 species
UUUCCGUUGGUGAACCAGCGGAAGGAUCAUUACUGAGAUCAUGCCCUUAACGGGGUAGACCUCCCACCCUGUGUUAUUACGAUUGUUGCCUUGGCAGGCCGCCCUCGGGCGCUCGGCUUCGGCUGAGGCGUGCCUGCCAGAAGACCCAAACCCUGUAUUUAGUGUUGUCCGAGUACUAUUUUAAUACGUUAAAACUUUCAACAACGGAUCUCUUGGUUCUG